GGAGGGAUGGCUGAGCCCGGUUUAAGGCGCUCGAUUCGAAAUCGAGUGUAGAGCAAUCUACCGUGGGUUCGAAUCCCACUCCCUCCGCCA
rnacentral:tRNA from 1 species